rnacentral:rRNA from 1 species
AUGCAGCGCCCAAGAGUGGCGCUCCAAGCACGCCCAUCAGGCCAUCAGCAUGCAGGCAGCGGCUGCCAUGCAACGGCCACGACGACACUCGAGCUGCGGUACAGCAAGUUCGUCGGAGCUGCGUUGCAAACGGACGCCACCGCCCGAGCUGCGAUACAGCGAGGCCGCCGGAGCUGCGAUGCAGCAAGGCCGCCGGAGUUGCGAUGCAGCAGCAGCCGCUGUCAGAGCUGCGACGCAGCGGACGCGUCGCCGCCGGAGCUGCGAUGCAGCAGCCGCCGCCGCCGCCGGAGCUGCGAUGCAGCGUUCCUCGACGCCGCUGGAGCUGCGAUGCAGCGGUCCUCGACGCCGCCGGAGCUGCAAUGCAAUGGUCCUCGAUGCCACCAGCGAAAUCCUAUGACGAACCUGUGUCGCAGACUCGCAGCACCAUGCGUGUUGCUAUGCAGCUCCACCAGUGGUGAGACCCGGGUCGCAGCAUGA